rnacentral:rRNA from 1 species
UACGAAGGGUGCAAACGUUGCUCGGAAUUAUUGGGCGUAAAGCGCACGUAGGCGGCUUUGUAAGUUGGAUGUGAAAGCCCCGGGCUCAACCUGGGAACUGCAUCCAAAACUGGCAAGCUAGAGUACGGUAGAGGGUGGUGGAAUUUCCUGUGUAGCGGUGAAAUGCGUAGAUAUAGGAAGGAACACCAGUGGCGAAGGCGACCACCUGGACUGAUACUGACACUGAGGUGCGAAAGCGUGGGGAGCAAACAGG